rnacentral:rRNA from 1 species
GAACGCUAGCGGGAUGCCUUACACAUGCAAGUCGAACGGCAGCAUCAGAGAGCUUGCUCUCUGGAUGGCGAGUGGCGAACGGGUGAGUAAUGUAUCGGAACGUGCCCAGUAGCGGGGGAUAACUACGCGAAAGCGUAGCUAAUACCGCAUACGCCCUACGGGGGAAAGGGGGGGAUCGCAAGACCUCUCACUAUUGGAGCGGCCGAUAUCGGAUUAGCUAGUUGGUGAGGUAACGGCUCACCAAGGCGACGAUCCGUAGCUGGUUUGAGAGGACGACCAGCCACACUGGGACUGAGACACGGCCCAGACUCCUACGGGAGGCAGCAGUGGGGAAUUUUGGACAAUGGGGGCAACCCUGAUCCAGCCAUCCCGCGUGUGCGAUGAAGGCCUUCGGGUUGUAAAGCACUUUUGUCAGGGAAGAAAAGUUCGAGGUUAAUACCCUUGGACGCUGACGGUACCUGAAGAAUAAGCACCGGCUAACUAC